rnacentral:rRNA from 1 species
GACGAACGCUGGCGGCGUGCCUAAUACAUGCAAGUAGAACGCUGAAGGAGGAGCUUGCUUCUCUGGAUGAGUUGCGUACGGGUGAGUAACGCGUAGGUAACCUGCCUGGUAGCGGGGGAUAACUAUUGGAAACGAUAGCUAAUACCGCAUAAGAGUAGAUGUUGCAUGACAUUUGCUUAAAAGGUUCAAUUGCAUCACUACCAGAUGGACCUGCGUUGUCUUAGCUAGUUGGUGAGGUAACGGCUCACCAAGGCGACGAUACAUAGCCGACCUGAGAGGGUGAUCGGCCAAACUGGGAAUGAGACACGGCCCAGACUCCUACGGGAGGCAGCAGUAGGGAAUCUUCGGCAAUGGACGGAAGUCUGAACGAGCAACGCCGCGUGAGUGAAGAAGGUUUUCGGAUCGUAAAGCUCUGUUGUAAGAGAAGAAAGAGUGUGAGAGUGGAAAGUGCACACUGUGACGGUAUCUUACCAGAAAGGGACGGCUAACUACGUG